UACGAAGGGGGCUAGCGUUGCUCGGAAUUACUGGGCGUAAAGGGCGCGUAGGCGGGUCGUUUAGUUAGAGGUGAAAGCCCAGGGCUCAACCCUGGAAUAGCCUUUAAUACUGGCGGCCUUGAGUAUGGCAGAGGUGUGUGGAACUCCGAGUGUAGAGGUGAAAUUCGUAGAUAUUCGGAAGAACACCAGUGGCGAAGGCGGCUCACUGGCUCAUACUGGACGCUGAGGUGCGAAAGCGUGGGGAGCAAACAGG
rnacentral:rRNA from 1 species